AGUUUGGCAGCCUCUGGGAUGAUGGGUAUAAAGAAAUAAUUCCUGGUCACUAGAAGCCACAGAGGUACUAUACCUAAGUCCCGUGUUGGAAACACCAAAAACCAAACCAAACCAACAAACAAACAGCUUCCCCGUAUAUGUUGAUGAAAGUGGGUUUUUUUGUCUUAUGUAUUUUUAUUUAUAGCUCACAAAAUAUUUCAUCCGGGCACCUUGGAUACCUUAUUUACAUACUCAGACAAACUUCAGAACAGCAAAAAAGAAAAAAAGAAUCUCACCUUCCCAAAGAAUUGCACAAAGCUUUUUUUUUUUUUUUUGCUCACGUGACUGAUGUUCUUGAGAGCAGGUAAUUUGUGUUAAACAAGUGAUUGACAUGCUAGCCCCCGGGUGUUUUCUUAAGAGGAGCUGUGGAGAAAACAGUUCUCCUUUGCAGCCACUUUCCCCCCUACCCCCCCCCCCAUCCCCCAAGCGGACCUGGCGACAGGGAUAACAUUCCUGCAGGGGCUGACAAGGCCCGAGGGAGUAAGUUCUUGCUCCCAUCACUCUCUCCCGAUUCCGCGACGCAGGGGAAAAUCCCCCUGGCUGGAGGGGUUUCUGUUUCCUUGCAAUCAGGGGUUUGUCCUUCAGCUGAACUUUCACCUUCCGAACUCGCCUUCUUUCAUUGGACAAAGUGCAGAAAGAAAGGGGAGAGACCGAGGGAGGACCCGGGAGCAGGCGCCGGGCUGGAACGCCGCCCCUGCCGCCCUCCGCUCCAACUGUCACCCAGGCGAAGCACUUUCACUUUUAACUGGAGGAAACUCUAUCCCUGCCUAUCCUCUUCCCUCCUGGAUUUUCUUAGCUCAGAACCUAGCGAAUCGUCUCGGCUUUCCCUUCUACGUCCUAGUUGCUGCCACUCUUGAUCUCCAUUUCCCAGGCUCUGAAAUGGGACCCUCUCCCCGUCUUCUGAGAGGACCCCUCCAGCCCAGGCCCCUCAUUUCCCAGCUUUUCUCCUCCAGGCUCCUUCUGCCUAGGAACUGUUGUGGCGUUUCCCUCCCGGGUCUUGGGGUUCUGUCUCCCUCUCCUCCUCUUCCCCUCCCCAUGUCCCUCACUUGGCAAUUGCGAUUUUUUUCACCCUCCCCCCCCCGCCCCCCGCGAGCUCUGUUGUUUACCCAGCAGGUGGAUGUGACGUCAGGGACGCACAACAGCAAAAAAUAACAACAUCUCCCUCCGCGACGCGAUGGCCUCUCUUGCGCGCCUUAUUUAUUUAUUUGUUCCGGGAUGCGGGGGGAAGGGGGCAGGCGACCCAAGGGCGCCGCAUCGGGGUGCAGAUCGCGCUCGGCGGGUCACAGGGGCUUUGAGAGCGCGGACAGCGGGGCUUGGGGCCGGCGAGGGGCCGGGGCGGGUUGGGGGCGCCUCGCGGCCGGCGGCGCUGGCGCGGCUCCGGAACGAGUCCCGAGCGGAGGAAUCUAUUGUUAUUUAUUGUGUGGCAGCUGCACGCUGUGCUCGCGGCCCGGCCCUCGCCCGCGAGUGCGUGUGUGCGCGCGUGUGCGUGUGUGAGCGGGGGGCGCGCGCGGGCGGGAGUGGGCGCGCGCGGGGAAAGGCCCCGAAAACACCUUAGUUUGCACCGAGAGACCAUUUGCCGCGGGUGAGUUCGUAUUUUUCCAUUUCUGCUCCACUUUUUUUUUCCCCAAGCCGCCUCCUGCCUUGUUUCCGCCACUUUAAACAACAACAACAACCAGC
rnacentral:lncRNA from 1 species